rnacentral:rRNA from 1 species
GAUGAACGCUGGCGGCGUGCUUAACACAUGCAAGUCGAACGGUGAACACGGAGCUUGCUCUGUGGGAUCAGUGGCGAACGGGUGAGUAACACGUGAGCAACCUGCCCCUGACUCUGGGAUAAGCGCUGGAAACGGCGUCUAAUACUGGAUAUGUGACGUGACCGCAUGGUCUGCGUUUGGAAAGAUUUUUCGGUUGGGGAUGGGCUCGCGGCCUAUCAGCUUGUUGGUGAGGUAAUGGCUCACCAAGGCGUCGACGGGUAGCCGGCCUGAGAGGGUGACCGGCCACACUGGGACUGAGACACGGCCCAGACUCCUACGGGAGGCAGCAGUGGGGAAUAUUGCACAAUGGGCGCAAGCCUGAUGCAGCAACGCCGCGUGAGGGAUGACGGCCUUCGGGUUGUAAACCUCUUUUAGCAGGGAAGAAGCGAAAGUGACGGUACCUGCAUAAAAAGCGCCGGCUAACUACGUG